UGCUCGGGAGGGGACCGGGCCCGGCCAGGUGAGCCCCGCCCGCGAGGAAGCCGCCCGGCCCGGCUCCGCGGGGAAACCGCACAGGUCCUCCCCGAGGGGGACGGGAGACCCGGGCGGCUGGGUGUUAGGUGACACCCGGGACAGUUAGUGCUUGGGGAGCCCGGUCCCACCCAGCCUGGCUCGCUCUGGAAAUGGAACACGGAGCACGUAAAUCCGACCAGACCGAGUGCGAAAAGGGGAGAGUCCGACCCCUUUCUGGGUGGGAUGGAGCAACGGAGAGCGCAGACCCUUGGGAGUGAAAACGAUGGGGCCCAGGGCGCAGGUAAAUGAGAGACUGAAAAACCAGUGUGGAGAAAAUGCUUUGUGUAAAAUGAGAGUUCUGUUACCACUGACAUACAAGCAAAAUCCUCCCUCAGGACCUUUGCACCAGCCAUUCCUUGUGUUUGCAGCUGUCUCCCAGCCUCUGCACGGCUGGCUUCUUCACAGAGGCCUCUCCUGGACCAUCUGUCGAGAUUGAACAGAGUCACCUGCUAUCACAGCACCCUGGUCUAUUUUUUUCACAGCAUUUGAAAAUACUAAAUCAUUUUUUAAAA